rnacentral:lncRNA from 1 species
CAAGUCAUAAAUCCUCUCACUGACUUCACCAAGUCAUGUAAGAGACUAGAGACUAACUGGUCUAAUCGGCAAGUCAUAAAUCCUUCCAUUGACUUUAAUAAGUCAUCAGAAGGACUGAGACAAGCCAAUCCAGGGCACCUAAAUCAGUCAUACUGAUUAAUCAUAACAACAUGGGUCAACUUGAGUUAUCUAAUGAUCUAAUCAACCCAAUGACUCGGGCUCAACAGCUGAGCCUCAAUCAAAGUCUAUUUGGUUUAAUCAAAGAUAUGGACUUGACCAACUACAACUACUGUAUUUGAUCUAGAGUAUCCUUGAUCUAAUCUAA